GACGAACGCUGGCGGCGUGCCUAAUACAUGCAAGUUGAGCGCUGAAGGUUGGUACUUGUUCCAACUGGAUGAGCAGCGAACGGGUGAGUAACGCGUGGGGAAUCUGCCUUUGAGCGGGGGACAACAUUUGGAAACGAAUGCUAAUACCGCAUAAAAACUUUAAACACAAGUUUUAAGUUUGAAAGAUGCAAUUGCAUCACUCAAGGAUGAUCCCGCGUUGUAUUAGCUAGUUGGUGAGGUAAAGGCUCACCAAGGCGAUGAUACAUAGCCGACCUGAGAGGGUGAUCGGCCACAUUGGGACUGAGACACGGCCCAAACUCCUACGGGAGGCAGCAGUAGGGAAUCUUCGGCAAUGGACGAAAGUCUGACCGAGCAACGCCGCGUGAGUGAAGAAGGUUUUCGGAUCGUAAAACUCUGUUGGUAGAGAAGAACGUUGGUGAGAGUGGAAAGCUCAUCAAGUGACGGUAACUACCCAGAAAGGGACGGCUAACUACGUG
rnacentral:rRNA from 1 species